rnacentral:rRNA from 1 species
UGGGGAAUAUUGCACAAUGGGCGGAAGCCUGAUGCAGCAACGCCGCGUGAGGGAUGACGGCCUUCGGGUUGUAAACCUCUUUUAGUAGGGAAGAAGCGAAAGUGACGGUACCUGCAGAAAAAGCACCGGCUAACUACGUGCCAGCAGCCGCGGUAAUACGUAGGGUGCAAGCGUUGUCCGGAAUUAUUGGGCGUAAAGAGCUCGUAGGCGGCUUGUCGCGUCUGCUGUGAAAUCCCGGAGCUUAACUCCGGGUCUGCAGUGGGUACGGGCAAGCUAGAGUGCGGUAGGGGAGAUUGGAAUUCCUGGUGUAGCGGUGGAAUGCGCAGAUAUCAGGAGGAACACCGAUGGCGAAGGCAGAUCUCUGGGCCGUAACUGACGCUGAGGAGCGAAAGCAUGGGGAGCGAACAGG